rnacentral:tRNA from 1 species
GCGAAUAUAACUUAGUGGUUAAAGUGCCGGAUUGUGGUUCUGGAUAGGUGGGUUCGAUUCCCACUAUUCGCC